rnacentral:SRP_RNA from 1 species
CCGCGCUAGACGGGGAGGUAGCGGUGCCCUGUACCUGCAACCCGCUGUAGCAGGGUCGAAUUCCUGGCCCCGGGACUGUCUUGUGAGGUCCGGCCUGAGUAAGUGAUGAAGAUAUUCAGGUCCUACGCAACGGGAAAUCCUGAACCGUGUCAGGUCCGGGAGGAAGCAGCACUAAGGGAUCCAUCCCGUGUGCCGUGGGGUAGCCUGAAUGGAGUUAACUGCUCAGGUAACGCUCGGAAGGCAGUUUCAAAGCCAGGUGCGCGG